UACUCCCAAUAAGGGAGGAGAAUAAGAAAGAUGAAAAUGGUUUAAAAAACAGAAAAUAAACUUCAGCACUUUUACUGACUACGAAGCCAUCAUAACCAAAACCAAAGAACUGAAGUUAAAACUUUGCAGAAGGCAGGCUGAAUAUGCAUCACAAUCCUACUGUUUUUCUGGUGCCUAAAGUGACAUGCACACUGUACUUCUGCAUGGGAAUAAUUUUCAUCCAGAGGUGUAAACCACUUCAUUAGAAGCUUCCAGUGGGAUCAAUGAGAGGAGCUCCUGCACUAUGAGUCAUGUCAUGUAUCUUUUUAGUCCUCUAAGUACAUCAAUUUUAUUUGACACUGGAGAGAGCAAACCAUGCCCUUUGUACAGACAGCAUGUUUGGGCUUGGCUUGGGAAGAAUGAGAGUUGCAGUCUCUAGCAUACAGCGCAGAUUGCAGAGAUGUCGGCUGGAAUAAGAACCCGGAGCUACAACCCAGACUUCAGAAUCUCCUGCUGCUCCCGUGAGAAUGGAAUCUGUGGUUCUGCCUGCUGCACCCCUCCUCCUCCGUGCCACUCAUGGAAGCAGCAGCAGUGGCGGCAUGUGCGCAACCUGUUGGGCCCCCA